UUCUCCUGCCUCAGCCUUCCAAGCAGCUGGGAAUUACAGCUCCAGGUUCAAGCUCAAAGGCCAAAAGUUUUGCAAAGAUCUGAUGAAGAGAAAGAUUUUUGAGACUGACAGCCUAUUAAAUCAAGUUAA